AGGCAGCCAUGGAAGAAAUAAGCAAAAAGACGGAUACGCCCUUGGAUUUGGAUCCAUUGCUGCUUUUAUGAUAAGUGAUGGAAUCACACUACUGUUGGAAGCUCUUUCUUCUUUUAAGGGAGUCAUUUAGGAGAUAGCUUGCUAGUGCAGUUCCUUGAACUCUAAGAUGAGCUUCAUUAUUAAUUAUUAUUAAUAUAAAUUGUUUUCAUAAUGUUUCAGUAGGGUUGUUGGAGUGCUAGCCAAAAGUUGAGAAAUCCAUCUAUCAGAAUCAUUUUUCCCACCAUUGAGAGGGUAAAAAUGCCAAGUUGUGGACUUUUGGCUUCAAAAUACAUCCUGUGUUUCACACAAAAAAGUUGCGACAGGUUGAGACAUUUGGGUAUACUUCAUGAUGCGGUUCCUCAUCAUGUUGAUAGAGUCGGG